AUUCCUGCUGUGGAUCCCAACUUUCCUAACAAACCACCCCUUACAUUUGACAUAAUUAGGAAGAAUGUUGAAAAUAAUCGCUACCGUCGGCUUGAUUUAUUUCAAGAGCAUAUGUUUGAAGUAUUGGAACGAGCAAGAAGGAUGAAUCGGACAGAUUCAGAAAUAUAUGAAGAUGCGGUAGAACUUCAGCAGUUUUUUAUUAAAAUUCGUGAUGAACUCUGCAAAAAUGGAGAGAUUCUUCUUUCACCGGCACUCAGCUAUACCACAAAACAUUUGCAUAAUGAUGUGGAGAAAGAGAGAAAGGAAAAAUUGCCAAAAGAAAUAGAGGAAGAUAAACUAAAACGAGAAGAAGAAAAAAGAGAAGCUGAAAAGAGUGAAGAUUCCUCUGGUGCUGCAGGCCUCUCAGGCUUACAUCGCACAUACAGCCAGGACUGUAGCUUUAAAAACAGCAUGUACCAUGUUGGAGAUUACGUCUAUGUGGAACCUGCAGAGGCCAACCUACAACCACAUAUCGUCUGUAUUGAAAGACUGUGGGAGGAUUCAGCUGGUGAAAAAUGGUUGUAUGGCUGUUGGUUUUACCGACCAAAUGAAACAUUCCACCUGGCUACACGAAAAUUUCUAGAAAAAGAAGUUUUUAAGAGUGACUAUUACAACAAAGUUCCAGUUAGUAAAAUUCUAGGCAAGUGUGUGGUCAUGUUUGUCAAGGAAUACUUUAAGUUGUGCCCAGAAAACUUCCGAGAUGAGGAUGUUUUUGUCUGUGAAUCACGGUAUUCUGCCAAAACCAAAUCUUUUAAGAAAAUUAAACUGUGGACCAUGCCCAUCAGCUCAGUCAGGUUUGUCCCUCGGGAUGUGCCUCUGCCUGUGGUUCGCGUGGCCUCUGUAUUUGCAAAUGCAGAUAAAGGUGAUGAUGAGAAGAAUACAGACAACUCAGAGGACAGUCGAGCUGAAGACAAUUUUAACUUGGAAAAGGUAUGCAGAUAAUAGCCACACAGAAAGAAUUUUACAUCUCAAAACACCUAUUCCAGAAAAUAAAUGAAUAAAGUAUUCAAACUUAGAAAAAGAGCAACAACACAAAACCUUAGCCAAACAGGAAGAAGGAAACUAUAACAGAAAGAAAUUUACACUUUCAAAACUGUACAUUAUAAUUUAAAAGUAAAUCAGGCCAAGUGCAUUGGUUCACGCCUGUAAUCCCAGCAUUUUGGGAGGCCAAGGCGGGCAGAUCACGAGAUCAGGAGUUCGAGACCAGCCUGACCAACAUGGUGAAACCUCAUCUCUACUAAAAAUACAAAAAUUAGCUGGGUGUGGUGGCGUGUGCCUGUAAUCCCAGCUACCCAGGAGGCUGAGGCAGGAGAAUGGCGUGAACCUGGGAGGCGGAGGCUGCAGUGAGCUGAGACCACACCACUCUACUCCAGCCUGGGCAACAGAGUGAGUCUCUGUCUCAAAAAAAAAAAAUUUUUUUUUAAGUAAAUCUAAGAGCUAAUUAUUUGACAAGUCCAAUUAGAUAAACUGCCAACUAUCUAAUAAUGGGAAAAGAAAGGGGUUAAACUUUGACACAAAAUGUGGAAGAAGGCCAGGCGCGGUGGCUCACACCUGUAAUCCCAGCACUUUGGGAGGCCGAGGUGGGUGGAUUACCUGAGGUCAGGAGUUCGAGACCAGCCUGGCCAACGUGGUGAAACCCUGUCUCUACUAAAAAUACAAAAAAUUAGCCGGGUGAGGUGGUGGGUGCCUGUAAUCCCAACUACUUGGGAGGCUGAGGCAGGAGAAUCGCUUGAACCCAGGAGGCAGAGGUUGCAGUGAGCCGAGAUCGUGCUAUUGCAGUCCAGCCUGGGCAACAAGAGUGAAACUCUGUCUCAAAAAAUAAAUAAAUAAAUAAAUGUGGAAGAAAUGUAAAGACUGUAUAUUUCUGCUAAUAAAUUUGAAAACCU
rnacentral:sRNA from 1 species